rnacentral:tRNA from 1 species
UGUUCUGUAGCUUAGUUGGUUAAAGCGCCGGACUAGCGAUAACGGAGUCGUGGGUUCGAAUCCCUCUAAAACAA